UUGGAUUUUUGGCUUCAAAUCUUCAUUUUUAAGGCUAAAAGAUUUGGUUGAUCUUUAUACCUUCAAGCACCAAGUUUUCAGGUUCGAAGAUAGUUGGAUCUUAGGUAGAGGCGCUUCCUUUUUUUCACCUUACGGUAGGUUUACCAGAACACUCCAUGAUAGUAUCCAUGCCAGAGUCACUCCGUUGAUAGUCAAGGUCUUUUGUAUGUGCAUAUGGUUAUUUAAAUGUAAUUCAUGAGAUUUGUUGUAAACAUUGUAUGCUUGGUUUGCAUGAUAAUGUUGCCAUAGGUUGGCAAAUGGUAAUAUUAUUUUGUGAAUG